GGGCCUGUAGCUCAGCGGUUAGAGCUGGCGGCUCAUAACCGCUCGGUCAGGGGUUCGAACCCCCUCGGGCCCA
rnacentral:tRNA from 1 species